GACGAACGCUGGCGGCGUGCUUAACACAUGCAAGUCGAGCGGUAAGGCCCUUUCGGGGGUACACGAGCGGCGAACGGGUGAGUAACACGUGGGUGACCUGCCCUCAGCUCUGGGAUAAGCCUGGGAAACCGGGUCUAAUACUCGAUAUGACUCCAUGACGCAUGUUGUGGGGUGGAAAGCCUUGUGCGGCUGAGGAUGGGCCCGCGGCCUAUCAGCUUGUCGGUGGGGUGAGGCCUACCAAGGCGACGACGGGUAGCCGGCCUGAGAGGGCGACCGGCCACACUGGGACUGAGACACGGCCCAGACUCCUACGGGAGGCAGCAGUGGGGGAAUCUUGCGCAAUGGGCGAAAGCCUGACGCAGCGACGCCGCGUGAGGGAUGACGGCCUCGG
rnacentral:rRNA from 1 species